AAUCUUCACAUCAAUACUAGCUAACUAAAUAGUUAAUUUAUUUAAAAUAUUAAAGUAAUAUCUCACAUUAGUAAGUAUGGUUCCUUGAAAACAUUCAUCAUAUGUACAAUUUCUUCUUUUAAGUACAUACAAUUUGUGAAAGACUUUGAUAUUUACAAUCUUUCCAAUUUCUUUUACAAGAUAAUUGGUGGAGUCUCUUCCAAAA
rnacentral:misc_RNA from 1 species